rnacentral:rRNA from 1 species
CACGAACUUAGCCCGUGCUUCCUCCAGGGAUCAGUCAAGCCCCUUGCGGGGCCUUCUUCCCCCUCGACAGGAGUUUACAACCCGAAGGCCUUCGUCCUCCACGCGGCGUCGCUCGGUCAGGCUUGCGCCCAUUGCCGAAGAUUCUCGACUGCAGCCUCCCGUAGGAGUCUGGGCAGUGUCUCAGUCCCAGUGUGCCGGGCCACGCUCGCACGCCCGGUAGGCAUCGCAGGCUUGGUGGGCCGUUACCCCGCCAACGACCUAAUACCACGACGGCCCGUCCCACGGCACCGGAGCUUUGGCGGCGGGCCGAUGCCGGCCCGACGCGUCGCCGGGGAUUACCCGCGGUUUCCCGCGGCUAUACCCGACCAUGGGGUUGGUUACCGUCGCCUUACUCACCCUUGCGCCACUGGCCUUGCGGCCCGUACGACUUGCAUGCCUAAUCCACGCCGCCAACGUUCAUUCUGAGCCAGGAUCAAACUCU